rnacentral:rRNA from 1 species
CAUGUCUUUUUGAUUAUAAUUUAAAGUCUGAUCUGCCCACUGAGGAAAAUUAAAUGGCCGCAGUAUUUUGACUGUGCUAAGGUAGCAUAAUCAAUAGUUUCUUAAUUAGGAGCUGGUAUGAAUGAUUGGAUGAGAUAAAAACUGUCUUAAAAUUAAUAAUUAAAAUUUUAUUUUUAAGUUAAAAAGCUUAAAUGAUUUUAAAAGACGAGAAGACCCUAUAGAGUUUAAUAUUUUAUUAAUAAUAGAAUUAUUAUAUUAAUAUUUUAUUAUUUUUAAAUUAUUUUGUUGGGGUGAUAGAAAAAUUUAAUUAACUUUUUUUUUAUUAAAACAUAAUUUAAUGAAUAAAUGAUCCAUUUUUUAUGAUUAAAAGAUUAAAUUACCUUAGGGAUAACAGCGUAAUUUUUUUAUAGAGUUCUAAUCGAAAAAAAAGAUUGCGACCUCGAUGUUGGAUUAAAGUUAAGUUUUGGUGUAGAAGCUAAAAUUUUAAGUCUGUUCGACUUUUAAAACUUUACAUGAUCUGAGU